rnacentral:rRNA from 1 species
UGCCCAGUGACAAACUUUAACGGCCGCGGUACCCUAACCGUGCGAAGGUAGCAUAAUCACUUGUUCUUUAAAUAGGGACUAGUAUCAACGGCAUCACGAGGGCUGUACUGUCUCCUUUCUCUAAUCAGUGAAACUGAUCUCCCCGUGAAGAAGCGGGGAUUAAACUAUAAGACGAGAAGACCCCAUGGAGCUUUAAGCAAUGUAUUCACCCCUGCACCUUUACAUCAACCAAACAUAAGAGACCUGAAUACUAGCUUUAGGUUGGGGGGACCACGGAGUAUAAUAUAACCUCCAUGACAAACGGGCUA